UCCAAUCAUUACGCCUUCUCACUUUGUCACCCUGUACUUCUAGAAGAGUUGAAGUCAUCAAGGAUUCCAAUAUUAACUGGAUGUCUUUAGUCAUGUUCUUAACUCGAUUAAAGCCUGCUAUUAAAGUAAUUGGAACCCAGCCUUGAUUAUCCAUGUUUGACUUCAAAUAUUCAUCUUUAAUUAAAUUAGCAUCACUGAAAUAAUAUUCUAUCUGAAUGACUAACAUAACAGACAAAGGAGGCUCAUGAACAGGCACAAUCAUUGCAGGUGCUGGUCCAUUAGUGAUGAAAGGCAUCCUAAAGGUUUCCAAUGACAUUGUAGGAAUAUAUACCAAAUCAGAAAAGCCCAUGUGGUUCCCAAAAGGUCUUACGUGCUGAGGUGGAACAAAUGCGACAGUAUUGGGUGGAGGAGGCCUAACAAAGCCCCUUGGAGAUCUCUGUGGGUGCCCAUGAACAUCCCUGAAAUUCCCAUAAUGUCCACGGUCUUGAUCACGCCUUCCCCCAAAAUUGUUCUGGUAGGGACCAUCUCCACGUUGUCCAAAGUUGCCUCUCCGGGAAGAAUGUCUGUGAUCAUUUACCACAGGUGGCUGAGGUCCAAACCCCCCAGCUGGUCUAGGUUCCCAAUAGUUACUCCUGUAUGAAGGGUCUCUUGGAGAUUGAUCCGGUAUUGCUGGGACAAGAUUCCCAUAACCAUUGGGAGACAUUGCAAAUAUAGGAAGUGGUGGUGGUGGCGGAGGAGAACGAGAAAAGCUGCUGUGAGAAUAACCACCUCCAGAGCUACUACCGCCACUGCCCCCCCGCUUCAUGGACUUCUGUCGAGUUGGCAUCGCAUAGUUUGAUACAGAAUUAGAUUUUGCAUUACUAGAAGCUUGACUGUGAGGCGAAUCAGGUAUUACAGGUCCCUGAGGCCCAUCAGAAACGAUCUUCGAAGAAGAAUCGGCGGCUAUUGAUUUAGGAGAAGGUUUGGUGGAUUCAGAUAGAGCAGGCCAUGAAUCGGCUCCCAUCACAGAACUACGCUCAGCUGCGCCAUUUAACGGUUUCUUCCAAGCUGGCUUCUCUGGCCUACCCACAUUGGCGCUGUUACUGUCCGAAGUAUCUGGCCCGACAAAAUUAUCUGCUGCCGGCAGCGGUGUAGAAAGCGGCUUACGAGGGGAGCAAUCAGAAAAAUUAGAUUGCUGCUCCCUGGAAGAAGUCAGAAGAGACGACGGUGACGUCAAGGGAUGAAGAGCCGGAAUCGAUUCCGGCUCACCCAGCACAACUUUAGCCCACGGAGAUGGCAAAUUUUUCCUACUGUGAGGACUGUUGACACCAUCUCCAGAACCAGCGCCUCGCGGGGAUUGAGACGAAUGAGAUUGCGAAUCCGCAGUCAUCGCCAUUAGGGUUUCAGAAAAGGAAAAAAACAGUGUAUUUUGAUCAAUAUAAAACAAAAAUUGGUCAAUUAAUUAAUUAAUUAAUCAACCAACGACUGAAAACAGAACGAUGUUAUUGGAAAAAUGCACCAAAAUGGAAAAAUCUGGGGACGAUCUAACACGUGAAAUUUACGCGCCGUCACAGCCCCUCCUUCCG
rnacentral:misc_RNA from 1 species